GACGAACGCUGGCGGCGUGCUUAACACAUGCAAGUCGAACGAAGAGCGAUGGAAGCUUGCUUCUAUCAAUCUUAGUGGCGAACGGGUGAGUAACGCGUAAUCAACCUGCCCUUCAGAGGGGGACAACAGUUGGAAACGACUGCUAAUACCGCAUACGAUCUAGUCUCGGCAUCGAGGAUAGAUGAAAGGUGGCCUCUACAUGUAAGCUAUCACUGAAGGAGGGGAUUGCGUCUGAUUAGCUAGUUGGAGGGGUAACGGCCCACCAAGGCGAUGAUCAGUAGCCGGUCUGAGAGGAUGAACGGCCACAUUGGGACUGAGACACGGCCCAGACUCCUACGGGAGGCAGCAGUGGGGAAUCUUCCGCAAUGGACGAAAGUCUGACGGAGCAACGCCGCGUGAGCGAUGACGGCCUUCGGGUUGUAAAGCUCUGUUAAUCGGGACGAAAGGCCUUCUUGCGAAUAGUGAGAAGGAUUGACGGUACCGGAAGAGAAAGCCACGGCUAACUACGUG
rnacentral:rRNA from 1 species